ensembl:lncRNA
AUAACCAAGAUGGUGACUGGGGCCAAGGAUUUACUCCCUGCGAUGAGCAGUGAUGGUCUGAGAGUUAUUUUUGACCAAGACUUGGGAUCCAAUUCUGUCUCAACCAAAUCUGUCUCUAGAAGCGGAAGUGACUGCUCGGACUCCGGCCACGGCUCUGGCACACGCGAGACCAACAGAGGGCGCCAUAGAUCAUCGUCCAACUCGUCAUCCACAUCUUCCUUGUCCAGUAGCAACCGGCCCAGAUCCCGCUCUCACCCUCGUUGCCAUAGAAACUCAUCCCGCUGUCGCUGCCCCACUCAUUACAGACAAGCCCACGGGAACCGACGUCACCGCUCACCACCACCCCGGCGUGCCAGAGCCAAUUCCCGCUCUUGCAGUCCUUCUUCCCUGCCGGUCAGGUCCAGUCGCCACAGAAGUAACCGGUCUCGCCACAGUUCCAGCAGCCGGCAGAGGACAAGCCCAGGGUUGGAGGGCCGUGACAGGAAGAGAACCCCCAAGUCCCCCUCAAAGAGCCAUCACAGCCGGUCCAGGUCCUCGAGGCGAUCGGCCGCCAGCCCAACUCUGGAUGAGGAAAAGGAACUCCUCAGAGCAGUGAAGGAAGACGCCACUGAGAUCCUAAGGGUUGAUCUUCCAGAGAGCACGACUCCCACACUAGACGAACCAUGCGAGGAAUGUCCCACACCAGAACCACAGGCAUGGGUGAGGCAAGAGGACGUUCCAGAAAAGGUUCCAUCCCAGGUGACCCAAAACCCAAUCAAUGUCUUAUACCUCAGAAUGGAUUAAGUCCAUGGAGGCUAGAAUUACAAAGUGUAGGUUCGGCACAUCCCUACACGUGUCCUUUCCUUUGACUUCCUG